AUCUCGUGUUGUGAAGUAGAUCUAAAUAAUGUGGGCUGUGGUGACAGGCAAGGUGGUCGACAUAGAAGACUGGAGACAGAUGCUGUUGGAGAGAUGGUCUGGCAUGGUGACAGCCAGGCAAUGGGUACAGCCUCUGCUUCUUCUGUUUCAUUGAAAUUAGCCACAGACCACAUUCUAGACAAUUAUUAAAUUAGUGCUUAAUAAAUAUGUAUGGUUACAACAUUCGUUUUCUGCUCCUAGCCUAAUUUUUUAAAUGACUUUUUUUCAACGUUUAUAAUUAAAUUUAUUUUUAAAAUUG
rnacentral:sRNA from 1 species